GUAGUCUCGCACAGAUGCAUAUCAAUAAGCGGAGGAAAAGAAACUAACAAGGAUUCCCCUAGUAACGGCGAGUGAAGCGGGAAGAGCUCAAAUUUGAAAUCUUAAAGGGUUUCCCUUUACGAAUUGUAGUUUAAAGAAGUGUUUUCUGUUGAGGUUUUGGUAAAAGUUCUUUGGAAUAGGACAUCAUAGAGGGUGAGAAUCCCGUAUUUGACCUUUACUUUCAACUUUGUGAUACACUUUCAAAGAGUCGGAUUGUUUGGGAAUGCAGUCCAAAAUGGGUGGUAAAUUUCAUCUAAAGCUAAAUAUUGGCGAGAGACCGAUAGCGAACAAGUACCGUGAGGGAAAGAUGAAAAGAACUUUGAAAAGAGAGUUAAACAGUACGUGAAAUUGUCAAAAGGGAAGCGUUUGACACCAGUGUUGUUUUUCUGAAAAUCAAUUAAAGAACUGUUUAUGCUAAGUUGUUUAGACUUUAUCAGCUAUCUGUUUAGUUUUGAGCUUUUCUUUAAUGCACUUUUCAGUUAACAAGUCAACAUCAAUUUCUUUUGCUGUAAAAAAGCUUGAGGAAGGUGGCUUGAGAUUCGUCUUAAGUGUUUAUAGCCUCUUGCCUAUGCAGUCGGAGAGAUUGAGGUCUGCAGCGUAGAUCCUUCGGGGCUAAAUGCAUUUGUGCUAAGUUAUAACAUUUUAUAGACAACUUGUUGACUAUGAUUUGUCUUGUAGCUUACUCGCUUAUGUUAUUUUACCUACGCUUAGGAUGUUGAUCUGUAGUGCGUGCGC
rnacentral:rRNA from 1 species